GGUGAACAUUCCUAAAAGUCACCAGACUUUCUGUAAGAAGUUUAGGAAUCACCAAUACCACAAAGUGACACAGUACAAGAAGGGCAAGCAUUCUCUUUAUGCCUGGGGAAAGUGGCGUUAUGACAGGAAGUAGAGUGGCUAUGGUGGGCAGACUAAGUUGAUUUUCCGGAAAAAGGCUGAAAGUACUAAGAUUAUACCGAGACAUGAGAGCAUUGAGCCCAAUUGCUUUUCUCAGAGAAUGCAAACAUUUUGAACUGGAAGGAGAUAAGAAGAGAAAGGGCAAAGUGAU
rnacentral:lncRNA from 1 species